CUAAUAAAUGCAAGUCGAGCGGACAGAUGGGAGCUUGCUCCCUGAUGUUAGCGGCGGACGGGUGAGUAACACGUGGGUAACCUGCCUGUAAGACUGGGAUAACUCCGGGAAACCGGGGCUAAUACCGGAUGGUUGUUUGAACCGCAUGGUUCAGACAUAAAAGGUGGCUUCGGCUACCACUUACAGAUGGACCCGCGGCGCAUUAGCUAGUUGGUGAGGUAACGGCUCACCAAGGCGACGAUGCGUAGCCGACCUGAGAGGGUGAUCGGCCACACUGGGACUGAGACACGGCCCAGACUCCUACGGGAGGCAGCAGUAGGGAAUCUUCCGCAAUGGACGAAAGUCUGACGGAGCAACGCCGCGUGAGUGAUGAAGGUUUUCGGAUCGUAAAGCUCUGUUGUUAGGGAAGAACAAGUGCCGUUCAAAUAGGGCGGCACCUUGACGGUACCUAACCAGAAAGCCACGGCUAACUACGUGCCAGCAGCCGCGGUAAUACGUAGGUGGCAAGCGUUGUCCGGAAUUAUUGGGCGUAAAGGGCUCGCAGGCGGUUUCUUAAGUCUGAUGUGAAAGCCCCCGGCUCAACCGGGGAGGGUCAUUGGAAACUGGGGAACUUGAGUGCAGAAGAGGAGAGUGGAAUUCCACGUGUAGCGGUGAAAUGCGUAGAGAUGUGGAGGAACACCAGUGGCGAAGGCGACUCUCUGGUCUGUAACUGACGCUGAGGAGCGAAAGCGUGGGGAGCGAACAGGAUUAGAUACCCUGGUAGUCCACGCCGUAAACGAUGAGUGCUAAGUGUUAGGGGGUUUCCGCCCCUUAGUGCUGCAGCUAACGCAUUAAGCACUCCGCCUGGGGAGUACGGUCGCAAGACUGAAACUCAAAGGAAUUGACGGGGGCCCGCACAAGCGGUGGAGCAUGUGGUUUAAUUCGAAGCAACGCGAAGAACCUUACCAGGUCUUGACAUCCUCUGACAAUCCUAGAGAUAGGACGUCCCCUUCGGGGGCAGAGUGACAGUGUGCAUGGUUGUCGUCAGCUCGUGUCGUGAGAUGUUGGGUUAAGUCCGCAACGAGCGCAACCC
rnacentral:rRNA from 1 species